rnacentral:rRNA from 1 species
UGGUGGAGUGAUUUGUCUGGUUAAUUCCGAUAACGAACGAGACCUUAACCUGCUAAAUAGUCACGCAAAGGCGACUUUGUGCGGACUUCUUAGAGGGACAAAGUACUUUUAGUACUUGGAAGUUUGAGGCAAUAACA